rnacentral:sRNA from 1 species
ACUUUGAUUAAUUUCGCUGUGUUUCAGGCUAUGUCAAAGAGGAGUCAAAACCGGAAUGCAAAACAUGUGGAGCUAGCACAGCUUAUCUGGCAGGCAUUCUGAUGGUGUUAAUGUCACUGCGACCUUUCUUUGGAUGAGUCAAUAGAAAUAAUACAUUAGAGUGACUUUUUUUUUAAACCGUCCAAUAUAUUUUUGUUUUCAUUAUAUACUAUACCACUUUAAAUGUACAGUUAAUCCACAAUAUAAUUGUUUUAGAAGUAGGCAUAUUAUAUGUGUUAUUAUAAUAAUUGUCAGUGAAUCAAGUAUCUGUGAUAUAUUUAAUAUUUGGUUUUCUUGAUGGUAUACUAUUUGUGGAGCACACUUAAAACUAAAACUAUUUUGAAAUGAAACAAAAUCUUGUUACGUUUAAAAAAUAGUUGUAUAGUUUGGGUAUUUAUGAAACAAACAGUAUAAGCUUAAUGUUAUGAAAUCCAAAUACUAAACAUAAAAGAACCUGCAGAAACAAAACAUAAAAUAACAGGGUAGAUAAUGAAAUCACCAGCUUACAGUGUGGAAAUAAUUUUAAAUGUAUGGUUGUAAUAAUAUUGAUUGUUUAUAAUAGUAUUAUAAACGCAAUUAAGCAUGCAUGUUGAAUUAUAUAAUUUUAUAAUGUAAGUUUUUUAAGAAAAAAUAUUUUGUUAAAAAUCGAAGGUUAUCUUUUUUUUAAUAAAAAGAAAAACAAAAUCAAAACGCAGCCGUUCUAUUUACGAAAUAUACCACAUUUUAGAGUAUCAAACGUGUUGAUUCCAUCAGUAUCACACUAUAUAUUACAUUUGGUGGCUGAGUGGUAAAGUGCUUGGCUUCCGAAUCGGGGUUCCCUGGUUCGAAUUCUGGUGAAGACUGGUAAUUUUAAUUUCGCCGUCUCUGAGUCCACUGGGCACUAACAUAAGUAAGGGAAAAGUAAGGAUGGUUGGUCGUUCACUAUGGGCCACAGAAACAGAUCACCCUUACAUCAUCUGCCCAAUAGAUCUCAAAGUCUGAAAUGGGGAACUGUACUUUAGUUUACUUUUGUAAUCUGUUAAAUACAUUCUGUCAUAAUAGAUUUAGGAAAACAAAAGUGUUUAUUAUGAUUUUUGUUUCCAAUAAAGAUUCUUUCUAUAAAAAUG